rnacentral:rRNA from 1 species
AGAGUUUGAUCCUGGCUCAGAACGAACGGUGGCGGUGUGCCUACUACAUGCAAGUCGAGCGGUCCUCGUGGCUUGCCACGGGGUACAGCGGCGAACGGGUGAGUAAUGUAUAGAUAACUUGCCUUCAAGUGGGGGAUAACGCCUCGAAAGGGGUGCUAAUACCGCAUGUGAUUAGACUCAUACCUGUGAGACUAAUGAAAGUGGGGGACUUGCUUCGGUAAGCCUCAUGCUUGAAGAGAGGUCUAUAUCCUAUUAGCUAGUUGGUGGGGUAAAUGCCUACCAAGGCAAUGAUGGGUAGCCGGCCUGAGAGGGUGAUCGGCCACAUGGGCACUGAGACACGGGCCCGACUCCUACGGGAGGCAGCAGUAGGGAAUAUUGGGCAAUGGGCGAAAGCCUGACCCAGCGACACCGCGUGGAUGAUGAAGGCCUUCGGGUUGUAAAAUCCUAACACGUAUUAAGAAAGGUGAACGGUUAAUACCCGUUUACUAUGACGAAGGUACGAGAUGAAGCCAUGGCUAACUCUGUGCCAGCAGCCGCGGUAAUACAGAGAUGGCAACCGUUGUUCGGAAUCACUGGGCUUAAAGCGCACGUAGGCGGGAAGAUCAGUCGGUCUGUGAAAUCCCACGGCUCAACCGUGGAUUGGCAGCCGAUACUGUCUUUCUUGAGGCCGGUAGGGGAGAGUGGAAUUCCUGGUGGAGCGGUGAAAUGCGUUGAUAUCAGGAGGAACGUCGGAGGCGUAGGCGACUCUCUGGACCGAUUCUGACGCUGAGGUGCGAGAGCUAGGGGAGCGAACGGGAUUAGAUACCCCGGUAGUCCUAGCCGUAAACGAUGGGUACUAAGUAGGGGGGAUUAGCCUCCCUGCCGGAGCAAAAGUGUUAAGUACCCCGCCUGGGGAGUAUGGUCGCAAGGCUGAAACUCAAAGGAAUUGACGGGGGCUCGCACAAGCGGUGGAGCAUGUGGUUUAAUUCGAAUCAACGCGAAGAACCUUACCUGGACUUGACAUUCUAGGAUUAGCCUUUUGAAAGAAGGAUAACGCUCCUUCGGGAGUGGAACUAGAACAGGUGUUGCAUGGCUGUCGUCAGCUCGUGCCGUGAGGUGUUGGGUUAAGUCCCAUAACGAGCGAAACCUUUGUCCUUAGUUGCCAGCGGGUAAUGCCGGGGACUCUAAGGAGACUGCAGACGUUAAGUCUGAGGAAGGAGGAGACGACGUCAAGUCAUCAUGGCCCUUAUGUCCAGGGCUACACACGUGCUACAAUGGUAGAUACAAAGGGACGCGAGACCGAGAGGUGAAGCAAAUCCCAAAAAGUCUAUCUCAGUUCGGAUUGAGGGCUGCAAUUCGCCCUCAUGAAGCUGGAAUCGCUAGUAAUCGUGGGUCAGCAAUACCACGGUGAAUGUGUUCCCGAGCCUUGUACACACCGCCCGUCAAGCCACCGAAGCAGGGGUGGCCUGAAGUCACUGACCCAACCUUUCGGGGAGGGAGGUGCCCAAGGAGACCUCUGUGACGGGGACUAAGUCGGAACAAGGUA